UUCCGGUUGAUCCUGCCGGACCUGACUGCUAUCGGAUUGAUACUAAGCCAUGCGAGUCUUUGUAGUAAUACAAGGCAGACGGCUCAGUAACACGUAGUCAACCUACCCUAUGGACAAGAAUAAUCUCGGGAAACUGGGCAUAAUUCUUGAUAGAUCAUAAUGCCUGGAAUGGUUUAUGGUUAAAAUGAUUCGUCGCCAUAGGAUGGGACUGCGGCCUAUCAGCUUGUUGGUGAGGUAAUGGCCCACCAAGGCGAUUACAGGUACGGGCUCUGAGAGGAGAAGCCCGGAGAUGGGUACUGAGACACGGACCCAGGCCCUAUGGGGCGCAGCAGGCGAGAAAACUUUGCAAUGUGCGAAAGCACGACAAGGUUAAUCCGAGUGAUUUCUGCUAAAGAAAUCUUUUGCCAGUCAUAAAACCACUGGUGAAUAAGGGGUGGGCAAGUUCUGGUGUCAGCCGCCGCGGUAAAACCAGCACCUCAAGUGGUCAGGAUGAUUAUUGGGCCUAAAGCAUCCGUAGCCGGCUUUGUAAGUUUUCGGUUAAAUCCAUGUGCUCAACGCAUGGGCUGCCGAAAAUACUGCAUAGCUAGGGAGUGGGAGAGGUAGACGGUACUCAGUAGGAAGGGGUAAAAUCCUUUGAUCUAUUGACGACCACCUGUGGCGAAGGCGGUCUACCAGAACACGUUCGACGGUGAGGGAUGAAAGCUGGGGGAGCAAACCGGAUUAGAUACCCGGGUAGUCCCAGCUGUAAACGAUGCAGACUCGAUGAUGCAUUGGCAUAAUAGCCAGUGCAGUGUCGCAGGGAAGCCGUUAAGUCUGCCGCCUGGGAAGUACGUACGCAAGUAUGAAACUUAAAGGAAUUGGCGGGGGAGCACCACAAGGGGUGAAGCCUGCGGUUCAAUUGGAAUCAACGCCGGG
rnacentral:rRNA from 1 species